GUUUGCGUGACCGAGAUGGCUUAUGGUACCGUCCUGCUAAGACGGAGCACGGUUUUUCGUGCCGAAGGUUCGAAUCCUUCCGCAAACG
rnacentral:tRNA from 1 species